GCCGGACUGGCUCAGUCGUACAGCAUGAGACUCUUGAUCUUGGGGUUGUGAGUUUGAGCCCCACGUUGGGUG
rnacentral:tRNA from 1 species